UCAAACACCUUGUAGAGGGUGUCCUAUUGAUGCAAACUGCUCUCGUUUGCCAUUGUCUGUCACCACUGAUGGAUAGUGCAGCAGAUUGAUUGGCCAGUUUCAACAGCCAUCCAUCAGCAUCAUCUUCAGGGAUUACAAUUCAGAAGGAGCAUUGUCUGCAGUGCCUGUGUUGAUCAUUCCCAACUGACAAGAGCUACCUUUAAAUAAAAGACCAAAUACCAAGUUGCAGACUUUUCCUUCUGGAAAGACAAAGGUGGAAUGACGGCAGCAAAAUACCACACAUAACCCCUGUCUACUACCCUGCAUUGGUAGAAAUAGCAAGUUCCAGACCGUACUGUGUGUGGUCAUCUGGGAAAAUAAUCACAGACAUCACCUUUAUCAGGCAGAUUCAAAGAGAAAGGAUGGAAAGCAGCUUCGUCAUAACUACCAAUUGUUAAGUAUUACUGUUUAAGUCAUUUACUUAAUAAA